CGCCAGCCCCGGGAACACGGGCACUGCCACAGGCUCUUUACAAAGCUUCCGUCCGGGUAUUAACCCCAAAAUGCUGCAGUCUCGGUGGCUAUACAGCAUAUUCAGGAUCCCAACAUAAAAAUUACUACCCGAAACCAAAGCGAAAGUGGUGAAUAAUAAAGGGAGCUUAACACAGGACUUAACAGAGAAGGCAUCCAAUGAUCUUUCAGCCACUGGCUGUUGUGACAGAUCCCCUGCAGGAAGCAGUAUCUUAC